GAUGACUCCCGGCUGUGCUGCUGCAAAUGCUAGCUAUUGCAAUACCGUUUCUAAUACCCAGUUUCUUUGGCCGAGCCUUAGCGAGGGCGCCACUAACACACUGGGAUUCUCAUAUUAUCACUUCAAUUUAUCAACGCUUGCCAAGACUCUGGACUUCUCGACGACAUUAGCGGCACCAGGUUUGGGGCCUAUUUUGCCUCCAAAUGUCGCCCAUAUUAUUAUUAGAUGUA